rnacentral:rRNA from 1 species
CAAGGAAUUUUCCCCAAUGGGCGCAAGCCUGAGGGAGCAACGCCGCGUGGAGGACGACGGCCUUCGGGUUGUAAACUCCUUUCGGGUGGGACGAUGCUGACGGUACCACCAGAAGCAGCCCCGGCUAACUCUGUGCCAGCAGCCGCGGUAAGACAGAGGGGGCAAGCGUUGUCCGGAGUUACUGGGCGUAAAGGGCGCGGAGGCGGUCUGCUGCGUCGGCGCUGAAAGCGCCCCGCUUAACGGG